rnacentral:rRNA from 1 species
UACAGAGACUGCAAGCGUUAUUCGGAUUCACUGGGCGUAAAGGGUGCGCAGGCGGUUGGGUGUGUCAGAUGUGAAAUCCCGAGGCUCAACCUCGGAACUGCGUCUGAAACUACUCGACUAGAGUACUGGAGAGGGUAACGGAAUUCACGGUGUAGCAGUGAAAUGCGUAGAUAUCAGGAGGAACACCGAUGGCGAAGGCAGGUCUCUGGGCUGACACUGACGCUCAUGCACGAAAGCGUGGGGGAGCAAACAGG